rnacentral:lncRNA from 1 species
CACUUCCUCUCUUUUCCUACAGGAUAGAAGGUGGAUGUUGCAGGGAGACUGUUCUGACCACGUGGCUUGAUUAGAGUUCCCUGAGGGAUGUCAGAACAAUGGAGCAGGAGGCAUCCGAGGCCCUGGAUGACUUCAUGGAGUGGAGCUACUCACCCUCUCCGAACCACUUGUCUACUUCCAGAAAGCGAUGUCAAAGAGAAGAUAGGCCUGCCUGGAUGAUCAAAACAGAUGGAAAAGAGGCAUAUGGGGCAAUAAUCCUGUUCCUUCGCCUCCUGAUGUUAAAUCUU